rnacentral:rRNA from 1 species
AUGACUCUCGGCAACGGAUAUCUUGGUCCUCGCAUCGAUGAAGAACGUAGCGAAAUGCGAUACUUGGUGUGAAUUGCAGAAUCCCGUGAACCAUCGAGUUUUUGAACGCAAGUUGCGCCCUAAGCUUCCGGGCCGAGGGCAAGUCUGCGUGGG